UACGCAACCAAGGUGUGAGCAACCCUCUACCACUAAACUCGAAAACAUUGCGGUCUUGUUCUUGAGCCCGGACAAAGAGGAUCUUUUUUUCUUCACACCAUAUCUGAGGUGAAGUGCUGCACCACUGAAUGUUCAGAUUUUUACAUGAAUACAGUAUAUACAACUGGGGUUGUAUAUGAUGAGAAUUAAUUAAUUGUUAUGACACAUUAUAUUUGACUUUAACACUGAUUAUGAGAUUCUCUUUUUCACCAUUAUCAUCAUCAUCAUCUCUGCAAGUCAGCAACAAAGGUGCAUCACAUCACCAGUGGAGAGAAAACCUUGGAGCUUUGUUUCAGACAAAACAGGAUGGUUGUGAGCAACACAAUGGAAUGGGAUGGGAUGGGGUAACGUGAUGAGUCGUGAUUGCCAUGGAUGCCUGGCUACUUUUUUAAACCGUCCAAAACUUUGUCACAGCAGUUAGGGUCAAGGCAUCUUUUCUUAUUUAGUCAAGAAAAUCCAAUUGGAACUUGGCGCAAGCAUCGUCGUCAUGCAACUUUACUCAUUAUUCAGUCGGCCUCAUUUCAGGCCACUUCAAAGGAGGAAUGUUUUACUCUUUGUUGGGUUUUUAACAAGUAACAGUAAGGUCAGAGAAAAACAAGAGGAUAAGACGUGAGGAAUACCGGAAGACUACAGACGAGUGAAAUAGACUAACUGGCUAACAAAGCGAAAUGUCUUCAGCACGUCCCAAAGGAGUGUCCGCUACUCAUACGGGGAUUUGUGUUCACCAAUCAGCUCCCUCAACCCUUCGGUGUCUUGUGCAGGUGUUUGUCGUUGUCUCGUCACAUUGCUUGUAUUUAGUUCCGUGGCUUCUGUCAGUCAUCGUUGUGUGUUCCUGUCAUAUUUUGUUUCUGUUUUGGGGCUGUCUGUUACUUUGGUUUCAUGUGGUCUUCAGGACUUUGUUCGUGUAUUUGAGUUUGUUUCUCCAGUGUACUCCUGCAAGUGUUUUUGGUUCAUAUACAGUAUUUUGUUCAGUCCACCCUGGUCCUCCUCCCUGCUUUUCAGGUCUACGGCAAUCACACAAAAUACAAGUAACAAUCAUCGAAUAAACAGAUUUUAGUGGCCUCUGAUUUCAAAACACACUAUGCGGUGUUGAAAAUGGGUACAUAUGUAGUAUGAGGUAAUCAUACAUUUAUUUGAGCUCACUGUCAUAACGGCCCUCUGAAGGAAACGGCAAUGUGGUCCGCCACGAAAAGGAUUUUGACACCCCUGAUCUUUAGGAUGAACAAAAUAAUUCCCAAUGGGAAAACUGAUUCUAAAUAUUUUCCGUCCUGGACUGAUUUGCAUUCAACCUAAGAAAGGUCUUUGAAAGAUACUUGUUAAAACAGCGAAUGUGACAGCAGGUUUACAAGAAAAGGAAACUUGAAGAGACUUACUAAAAUUUUGCUUGGAUGUUUUGAUGACAGCCUCAGACGUUUACAAGCAAAUCAGUAUCACUGUAAAAAUCAAAAGUUGGCUGAACUCAACAUUUUCAGGCAACAAACUGAUUCAAUUUUAAGUUGGGCAACUAAGUGAAACAUUAUCAGUUUUGCAGUUGUGGAAAUUGGCUUUCAUGCAUUUUGCAACAAAGAACGAAGAGUUUACAGAAGUACAGAAGUGUUGUCCCACCAACUUUAAGAUAUAAGUAACUUAGCAAAUCAUUUUGGAGCAAACAACUUGCUUGCUUUGUUGUACUAACACUGUUUCCAUACAUUUCUAUAGUACAUAUUUUUCAGUUGUUGUCGGCUGUUGUUGUUUUUUUUACAGUGUAUUAGCAAUAAAGAAAAUAAAGUAAGGAUUUUGACCAUGCAAGAUACAGACAUGAUAAGUCUCAUUAUUUGCAAUUCACAGACCAAUCUGGGGCUGCAUGCCAGGGGCUCGUUCGCAAGAUGAAUCGGCCUGAAAUUCAUUGGUUCUGUGUCACUCGCCUGCUCCUCUGUGCAAACACUUACACGAGCUGUCACAAACAUACACACGUCCCCUCAUGCCCUCAUCUUCUUCUCUGCCAUGCCGGGUUGCGCAGAGUGCAGUCUAAAAUAAAAUAAAAAAUGAAAAACUCACACACACACUCACACACACACACACACACACACACACGCACACACACACACACACACACACACACACACACACACACGCAACAACAACAACAACAACAACAA